rnacentral:rRNA from 1 species
GACGAACGCUGGCGGCGUGCUUAAUACAUGCAAGUCGAACGGAAAGGCCCUGCUUUUGUGGGGUGCUCGAGUGGCGAACGGGUGAGUAACACGUGAGUAACCUGCCCUUGACUUUGGGAUAACUUCAGGAAACUGGGGCUAAUACCGGAUAGGAGCUCCUGCUGCAUGGUGGGGGUUGGAAAGUUUCGGCGGUUGGGGAUGGACUCGCGGCUUAUCAGCUUGUUGGUGGGGUAGUGGCUUACCAAGGCUUUGACGGGUAGCCGGCCUGAGAGGGUGACCGGCCACAUUGGGACAGAGAUACGGCCCAGACUCCUACGGGAGGCAGCAGUGGGGAAUAUUGCACAAUGGGCGGAAGCCUGAUGCAGCAACGCCGCGUGCGGGAUGACGGCCUUCGGGUUGUAAACCGCUUUCGCCUGUGACGAAGCGUGAGUGACGGUAAUGGGUAAAGAAGCACCGGCUAACUACGUG